rnacentral:lncRNA from 1 species
AUAUUGAGCUGCUUUAGAGACUUAGUGUUAUUAUUUGCCCUCUCAAACUUCCGGAGUUGUUUUCUGGGAUUUCAUUGGCUGAUUGGUUGCUGUUUUUGGCUUGCUACUUUCUUAACCUUUCUCAUAGGCUCUAUUUUGCUGAAUUCCAGGUAUCCAUCUUCACUUAAAAGCUGAGAGAUAAUGCCUAUGUAUGUUUGAGUUUGUAGCUGGUCAUGAAAGCAAUAACACUUUGCUUUAAUUUCACACAAUGUCUGUUAUUUAUUUUUAGUAGCAUCUCUAGCAUUGUAAUGAACAUGAAUAUGUACUAACUAUGGACUGUAUUGGGAU